AAAACCAGGCGAGCCAACCUUACCAGCUCGAGGUCAGAAAACUUCCUCUUUCAUUCAACGUGUGUCCAGUGGUGAAGACGUUCUUUUCGUCUCUUCACUACCCAACCCCAAAAUGAGAGCUAAGUGGCGUAAGAAGCGUAUGCGAAGGCUGAAGCGUAAGCGCAGGAAGAUGCGUGCGAGGUCCAAGUAAAAUGGAUUCCACAAGCGUCUAUCCCUCGGUAUUAACUAAGGAUAAGGACCCAUACAUGAAUACAAAACGCCCCCAUCGUUGACCGCCUGGUUGAAGGCGCGUGGAAUCGGCUGCCGGCCGGAGGAAUUGGAGUCCUCUUCCGAUGGUGGCGCAUUUCUAUGAAGCCGGUUCCCGCCGUGUGCAUUUACUGUGUGCUAGUGUGAAGUGUGUUCUAGUGUUGGAACCAUUCGGUGAAAAUAUACGAGCACGUCACCUUCCCGGAUGUUAUCGGCGAGCGGCUGAUGCUGACGGGCGAUGAUGGGAGAAAAAUUAAGUAAA